UGGUAGGCCCAAAUAGUAAGCCCAAAUAGUAAGCCCAAAUGGUAGGCCCAAAUGGUAAGCCCAAUUGUUCGGCCCGAAUAGUAGGCCCAAAUGUUAAACCCAAAGUGGUUUGGGCCGGUUCGAAAUGUGGAUGGUCCGAUUUCUUCAGGCCCAAUUGGCCAGCCCUAGUGCUUAGCCCAAGGAUUGAGCAAGCCCAAGUCAUCAUCAUUGGGUGACAUAAUUUAUUGGCGUGCUUUUGGGGAUGAUUUGUUUUGAGUGAUGCAUCUCUAUGGUUGUGAAGAGUGGUGCAUGCUUAAGUUUUACUAUGGAGAUUUACCGUGAUGCUAAUUGAGUAGCGAAACACUUUGUGGGAGUGAUUACUGUGCUUGUAUGCCAGUACAGAGUGAUGAUCUAUGUGAAGAUCUAUGUGAUGAUCUAUGUGAAGAUCUAUGUGAUGAUCUAUGUGAAGAUCUAUGUGAAGAUCUAUGUGAGGAUCUAUGAGAUGAUCCAUGUGAUGAUUUUGUGUAAUUGAUGUGGAGUGAUGUUGAGCAGUUGUUUUGUGAAUUUACAUUGUGAUGAAAGGAUUUAGUGGCCAUAGAAAUGUAUUUUUAUACAAAGGGCUGAGGCUUUGUAGAUUACUACAGAUUUGGAAAAGAUGGAGAUUCUAUGGUUAGGUCAACCUUAAUCGAGAGGAAUUGACUUACGCUCAAAUUUCGGGACGAAAUUUCUUUAAGGAGGGUAGAUUGUAAUACCCGCAAUUUUCAUUUUCGUUUCAUGAAUUAGUACGAAAUGAUUAAAGUGAUUUUGCACGAAUAUUACUCUAAUUAAUUCAUCUUUUUGAAUUAUCGAAGUCCCGAAACUUUUCUUUUUAACAAAAGCUCGGAUUGUGCGAUUCAAGAAAAAUCGACUUUUCUACGUACGGAAUUUUGGAAAACUUCCUUCAUGAAAGUUGUAGAGCUCGUCGAUACGAUCGCGUGCAUAUGUGGAAUGCAAUUUUCGGAGCUCGUAUGAUUAAGUUACGAUUAUUUGAAAUUAGGGAUUCUUUUUGAAAUAGAAAAUUAUAUUUUCUUCUUUCUUUUUUCUUUUCCUUUCCCUUUCCCCGGUCCCUCCUCUUUCUUUUCUUUCUUUUCCUUUUCUCCCCAUGGUGCGCACUACCUCUCACUCUCUCAUCCAUCAGUUCAUGCAACACUAGAAUAAUAUCCAAUAUUUAUUACUUGGUAUUUGAUUUUGAGUUAGUGGGUGUCGGUGGCAAUCAUCCUUUCAUCACUUUUCUGCUUCUUCUUCUUGGAUUCCAUGGGGGCAGCAGCAACAAGCAGCCCAUUAGGCGUUGUCUACCGCAGAAUAAAGAAAGAGAAGAGCAAAGAGUCUUUGCUUUAAUUGCGAUGAGACUUACCCAGAAGGUCACUUUUGCAAGAAAACAAUUAUGGCCAUUCUUGAGGCACCGGCACCACUCGAUACAGAUCGCACUACCACCUUCCUGUCUUCUCUUCCUUCUCCAUUCUCUUCUCUCUCCACUGAGAUUGCUUGCUCGGUCUAGUCGGCCACCGAGUUGACUCACUUCCUCGUCCUCCAGAGCAAGGAGCUCCAGUCCGUGCUCGAAGGAUCCGAUUCGAAGUUCGUCGACCUGUUUGUAAAAGAUUUGAGGUUUUGGUGUUUGAGAAGGGUUUGAGUACUGUGGGUGAGUGAGGGACAGUUCAGAGGUCCAAUCCAGUUAUAGAGUAAUGCUUUGGCUGCUUUGGAAGCUAUUGAUUUGGAUGUGGCUGAGGAGUUCUGCAUUUUUGGGAGGACUUCGGAUCUGUGGAGUUGAGAAAUGAGAGUGAGGGAGUGAGAGUUCGGUGGAGCUUGCAGAUUUUGAUGUUAAUGUGAUGAUGAUGUAGGUGAUGAUGAUGAUGAUGUGGGUGGUGAUGAUGGUAAUAAUGUAAAUGGAUGCUACCCUUGUGCUGCCGGAAUUGGAUGCAAACUCAUUUUGGCAUGAUGACAGAUUGAGUUACAUGAGCAUGAGGGCCAUGAGGUGCAGCAAUCAUCGAGUUCAUGACCUUGGCAAGAUUCGGGAUAAGGUGAUUGACGGUUUGAGUUGGUGGACGAUUGUGGAUCGUAUUUUGAGCUGAAUUGAAGACGCAGCGGGAUUAUCGAGCGGGUAAUCCUACAGGACAGGAGAACCAGGACGGUGAUCGUGCGGUUAGAGCAAUUGUUAGAGUUUUACAACAAUUGUAAGUUGUGAGGUGUGUUAUGCUCAUUUGAGCUUUAUAAUAUAUUGUGAGAGUGAAUUGUAAUAA